CCUCAGGGUGUAAACUCUUUGGCUAUGGACGACGUGCCGUUUUGGGGGUUUGACGGUAGGUGAGAGAAGCACCGGCCAACUACGGCCAGCAGCCGCGGUAACACGUAGGGUGAGAGCCGUUGUCCGGAGUAUUGUGAGUGAAGAGCUCGUAGGAGUUGUGUAGCGUAGGCCGUGAAAACUUGCAGCUUACUGUGGGCGUGCGGUCGAUACGGGCAUCACUCGAGUUCGGCAGGGGAGACUGGAAUUCCUGGUGUAGCGGUGAAAUGCGCAGAUAUCAGGAGGAACUCCGGUGGAGUAGUCGGGUGUCUGGGCCGAUACUGACGCUGAUGAGCGAAAGCGUGAGGAGCGAACAGGAUUAGAUACCUUGGUAGUCCACGCUGUAAAUCUUGGGCGUUAGGUGUGGGGGGCCUUUCCGGUUAUCUGGGCAGCAGCUAACGCAUUAAGCGCCCCGCCUGGGGAGUACGGCCGCAAGGCUAAAAAUCAAAGGAAUUGACGGGGGCCCGCACAAGCGGCGGAGCAUGCGGAUUAAUUCGAUGCAACGCGAAGAACCUUACCUGGGUCCGACAUGCCCCCUAAACCCGCAGAGAUGUGGUGUCUUUCGGGGGCGGUCACAGGUACAGCAGGAAUUUCGUCAGCUUGUGUCGCGAGAUAGUGGCUUAAGUUCAACAACAAGUGCAACCCUCGUCCUAUGUUUCCAGCGGAUAAUGCCGGGGCUCAUAGGAGACUGCCGGGGUCCACUCGGAAGAAGGUGGGGAUGACGUCAAGUCAUCAUGCCCGCUAAGUCCAGGGAGUCACGCAUGGUACAAUGGCUGGUACAAAGGGCCCCAUACCGCAAGGUUGAGCGAAUCCCAAAAAAACAGUGUCACUUCCCAGAGGGGUUUGCAACUCCACCCCAGGAAGUUGGAGCAGGUAGUAAUCCAGAUCAGCAACUCCGCGGUGAACCUUCCCCGGG
rnacentral:rRNA from 1 species